CCCUUAGAUGUUCUGGGCAGCACGCGCGCUACACUGAUGCAUUCAACAAGCCUAGCCUUGACCGAGAGGUCCGGGUAAUCUUUGAAACUGCAUCGUGAUGGGGCUAGAUUAUUGCAAUUAUUAAUCUUCAACGAGGAAUGCCUAGUAAGCGUGAUUCAUCAAAUCGCGUUGAUUACGUCCCUGCCCUUUGUACACACCGCCCGUCGCUCCUACCGAUUGAAUGUGUUGGUGAGGAGCUCGGAUUGGCAGCAGUUGGUGGUUCGCCACCGGCUAUUGCUGAGAAGUCCUCCAAACCGCCCCAUUUAGAGGAAGGAGAAGUCGUAACA
rnacentral:rRNA from 1 species